GCGACAGUCGUUUGUUUCUUAUUUACUCUGCGAGGACAGUGCAUAGUGCAGGUGUUAAUCACGUUGUUUUUCACUCUCUCUCGUCAACCAUUCGAAUCCCACGUAAUACACGAGGCGAGACUCUUUCUAUUAACUAUUUCGCAGCGGUAUAUCACGCGAGUGUUUCCAUGCAGAACGCGAAAUUCCCGGUCCCUCAGAGGCAAAGGUGAGGAUCGAAAGUAAGGUGACACAGAUUGGUCUGACAACGAGACCCGCUCUCUUUCCCCCACUAUUCGACGCGAGCGCCCCCAUCUAAGUGUCGUUUGUCGUGAAGCUGUCACAGCACCCACGACGCUCGGAGCGUGAAAACGCCGGAUUAACCUUUGUAAUUGUAGAAUUAUGUGGCGAUUAAUAACUCGACAAGGCGUGCGUGGGACUGGCGUGCUUUGUGGCUGAAACCGAGAUAAUCAUCGGUCGUGGCUGGAGAGCACAGACGAUACGUGCCACGGCUAACUAGUAUCUAGCUAACUAUAUACACUUACUGUGUAUGCAACCAUUGUAACUUACACAGGACAACGCGACACGAAUUCGGUGCAGGAAAACAUGAGCAAAACAUGCAAUGGAGUACAAUUGCGCCGACUAACGGUGGAGACACGAAGAAGGAGGAUGAAUCAAUGUCUUGCGAGAGUAUAGUGGCAAGCGUGCGUCCCUGGUUCGAAACAAAACCAUCAGGCCGCGUAACAGGUCGCAGGAGCAAGCUGCAACCGAGCACUUGGAAAGAACGCUCGGCCCCAGAAGAGAAACUGCAAGGAACAACCGCGAUUCUCGUCGCGGUGCCCGCUGCUUCCGCGUUGAUAUCCUCUUUGCCACAACCGGGGACACGUGCAAAGCGCAUUAUACCUCCAGGACAAGUUGCUCGACCAACCUACCCGUUGCUUUUCCAUUCUGCCGCGUUUUGUUUACGUUCCACGAAGAUCAGCUGUGAACUUGAUAUUUCUAGUUUGAUCUUGUAUGGUGGCAUGUAUAAUUUCUGAAAAAAUUUGAAUAUUAGAUAUUGCAAAUUAAGAUAAUUUGUUCUUGUUGUGGUAAUGAAAUUUAUUUUUAUUCACAAUGAAAGAAUUGGUUAAUUAAAAUAUCAAAUUUACAUUUA